rnacentral:lncRNA from 1 species
GUCUUUUUGCUACUUCUUUGGGCCGCUCCUGCGGCAUAUGGAGGUUCCCAGGCUAGGGGUCGAAUCGGAGCUGUAGCCGCCGGCCUAUGCCAGAGCCACAGCAACGCGGGAUCCGAGCUGCGUCUGCAACCUACACCACAGCUCACAGCAACGCCGGAUCAUUAACCCACUGAGCAAGGCCAGGGACCGAACCCGCAACCUCAUGGUUCCUAGUCGGAUUCGUUAACCACUGCGCCACGACGGGAACUCCUAUAACACUCUAUUCUAUCUACAGUGUUAUUCAGGUCAUUUGAGAGAGCAGAAACAAGAGGUAAGCCCUAUCCUAGGUCAAAGAAUAACUGUUCUUGUGUACUCUUAAGUGGUAGAUAAUGUAAUUUGCAGAAUUAACGUGUAGGUUUGUAUCUUUUUUGAGGCAUCAAUGUGAAUACAAAUGUUACAUGUUCACAUAAGAGUUACUAAGGCUAGCCUAUUUCUCAACAUCCACACUACAAUAAAUGGCCAUACUGCCCAGUGAGUAUGGGCAGCUUAGAUCUCCCAGCAUUUAAAGACUUCAUCUGAUUACAGGAUGAUACCAGAGAUUAUGUGAUAAUAAAACAACCAACUGACAAUAUCUCUGAGUAAACUUGUGUUCAGAGGGACUCUGAGUUCAUACCUAAAAAGGAAUUCUGUGACCGAUUAUGGGUAAUUGAGAAUGUCAGCACACAUGCCUUAUACAUACUUAAAAUAGCAGAAGGGAUUUUCUUAACCCUUAAAUAAAGGUUGAGAUUCAGGGCUGGCAUUAGGAGAUUUGGCGGAAUGUGAUCCCAGGGAGCAACUGUGAUGGCAAAGAAAGUGACCAGGGAAUGAGAGAAAACCAGUACAAGAAUGCACCAUUGAGUGGGCUGUUGCUACUAAUGCCUGGCACUUUAUUCCAGGGGAGCCUUAGGAAAUGUAUCCCACAAUUAUUCACUAGGGAAACAAAGAGGGAACUAUUCAUUUAAAAGUUCCCUCCCCAGUCAUUCGAGGGAGGGUCCACAGACACCAACUCCUCAGCAUUUCCAAACUGCCUACCUGGGCACUGAGUGGGUCUUGGGGAAUCUCAGCUGCCAGUUUCCGAGGAGUCCCAGGGGAGGAGGUGAGAGCAGGUUCUGAGAUGCAGUGCUGUCAGGCUGAACUGUGCAAAGCUGAUCAAAGUCAUCACAGCAGUGAGUAGAGGCAGAGGUGGGACUAGAAAGAGAUGAAAUCAUGCUUAAAAGCUUGUCCAGUACCGUUCCUAUCAUGCCCACUCUUUGGGGUCUUAUUCUCAUAAUGAUUCAUGCUCAGUGGUUGAACAAAACUCCAUUGAAUUCCACCUAUUCAAAGAAGAAUACAUUCAAGCUACGAUCUUCUCAAAAACCGUAUUUCCUGGACCCACAUCAGGCAAUAUACUUCAGAUUUGAAUUUGUUCACUGAACACAGUGAAUCAUGCUGCCCAGCCUGAGAACACAACUGCUACAGAGGCAACAAGUUCAAUGAAAAAAAUUACAGUGUCAACAUACUAAUAAAAUGAGGAAUUCUCAUCAUUCACCAUACAGUAUUAGCCUAACACAUAGUGAUGAUUAUUUCUGUGAAAGUUAACAUUUCCCAAAAGCUUUUGAGAAACGUACCAACACUAAUGAAGCAUAAAUUGAUAACUUAAGAAGUUUAGGAGUUACUGUUGCGGCUCAGUAGUGACGAACCUGACAAAUAUCUAUGAGGAUGCGGGUUUGAUCCCUGGCCUCAGUGAGCUGUGGUGUAGUUCACAGAUGUGGCUUGGAUCCUUUGCUGUUGUGGCUGUGGUAUGGCUGGAAAUUGCAGCUCCCAUUCGAUGCCUGGACUGGAACUUCCAUAUGCUGCGGGUUCGGCCCUAAAAACAAAAUAAAACAAAACAAAAAGAAAUUUAGGUGUGCCAUAGUGUAUUAAAAUUUCUUUUGGUCCAUGCAUCAUGAUGAGCUUACAAAGGUUGAGACAUCUUUUUUUUUUUAAUUUUGAGAGACAUCAAUGUUUUUUCUUUAUAGUAGAAAUGAUAAUUUAUACUUCUAUCAUUAGAAUGUUUUAAAAUUUUUAUUAAUCGACACAUCAUAAAUGAGAAAGUGAUUAUGUACCCAUUUCAAUCAUCUAUUUCAGCUUGCUUUGGAAAGGAAAAUAACUGUUUUCUGCUAAUUACAGAUUUAACUUAAGGUUAGCAGAUCUAUAAGCUGUGGUGAUUACAGGGGCCAGAUUUAGAGAUAGAUGGAGCUGAUAAUGUUACCAUCUCUUCCUCAACAUGAUUAAGAUUAUGGCCUCAAGCAGCAGAACACAGAUAAACACAUCAAGGAUUCUGAUAUCCUGGCAGAAUGGACAUCUGAUGUUGGAAACCUGCAGUGCUGCCUCCAGGGCACAGGCAGUUGCUAUCCUCAUCAAAUCUGCGGGAGGCCUCUAAAGGCAGUCACUUCAAUGCUUGCCCCUCCCAGUGGUGCAUGCACAUACACCAAGCAGGUGGGCUAAGCUUAACAACAGCAGCUUAAGACACAGCUGAUGAAGUGUCAGCCCCUUUUUCUUUAUGAGCCUCACCCAGGUCUCAGUUCAUUAGUCUCCUAAUAAUUAAUUCAGAAUGUUAGAUCUUUCCUCCACACAGAACACAUGGAUUCAUAUUCUAAGUGUGCCAGAGAGAGAGAGAAGAGACAACAUUUAACAAUACCAUGGCACUGUGUUGGUCAGAUGCUGAUUGAUGUGGCCCAUGAUGGAUCAUCAUCAUCUAAGAUGAUUUUCCAAGGGUUGUACAGGAUGAACGAAACAGCGUCUUAUGGAGAAAACGACACCAAUGGGCUGGCCAAUUAGUCAGAGAUAAAAACAGCUCAGGAGGAGAUGUACACAUGGUGCAUCAAGAAGAAGACCAGAGCCUUAAGUCCCCAGUGCCACCUGGCAGUUUUGGGAAUGGUGGCUUCACUGUCCUGUGAAACGGAGCGAGUGCUAGUGCUAAGGACUCAGGGCUGAAAACCUAGGGAAAGGAAAUGGAGCUAAAGAAUCAAAAGAAUAAAACUAACCUGACAGGGAAGGGAGCUAUGCACUCAUCUCAUCUUCCACUCACAGCUGACAUUACUAAUCUCUCAUAAUACCAUCACUGACAAGCACUGAGAGAUCCUAAAAUUCUCAUUAACCCACACUUUUAGGCAGUUAAGUCAUCCUAUUUUUUGGAAGGAAUCAAUGUGUCAUCCUUGAUCUAUGACCAUAUCUUGUAUUAUUCUAAAAACCUCAAAUAUCUUAAUCUUUCAGAAGUUAAGGACAGAAAAGGGUCUUUGCAUAAACUACCAAGAAUCUUUCUUUUUCUUUUAACUGUAACUAAAAGUACCUAUUUAUCGUUUUAGCAUGUUCUGUCUGUGCUUUCCCUUUCGUGUAAUAAUAAUGCUAACUUAGAUGGUUAUGAUUUUUAUUAUUGUUUAUGAUUUUUAUUUUUUCUAUUAUAGUUGAUUUACAGUGUUUUGUCAAUUUCUACUGUACAGCAAAGUGACCCAGUCAUAUACACAUAUAUUUUUUUCUUUUACAUUAUCCUCCAUCAUGUUCCAUCACAAGUGACUAGAUAUAGUUUCCCCAAUGCUAAUUUGUCUGAUCCUAAAGCAAUGAUAAGGCAAGCACUAUUAUUCCAUUCUAAGAUUAAGAAAACCAAAAACAAAAUUUGAGGCUCAGAGAAGAACAGUGACUCCUUAAUUUCAUGUAUUUAGUAGGUGAAGGGCUAAGAGUUCAGAUCUUCAUCCAGAGUGCUUGCUGUUUGUCUAUGCUUUACAUAGAGGAAUCUGUCCAUGAUUAAUUUUAAGAAGGUCAAUUGCUUUAAAAAAGAUUUGGAAACCAUGAGAGUAAACUGUAUUUGAAGUCCUUUACUAGCACUCAGAGCUUCUUCAGCCAAGGCUACAGAGAGACUUCCCAGUUUGGCUGAGGCCUUGAGUGCUCUAUUUGAGUUGAAAGCUGUCCUAUCCUGUCCAGCAAUUCUAUCCCUAAAAUUAACAACAUUUUCCAAGUUCACUAUCAGAGGCAACAAGGAAAUUAUACAAUAAUGUAUCAUUAUUUUCUGAUCCUCCAGGCAUUUGUUUUACGUGCUGACACAGGAACAUUUGAUAACUCUCUUAGCUGUCUAACAGGGAAGGGCUAUCAAUUUUUACCAUGCAUCACUGAAUUACCUGGCCUUGCUAUAACCAUCAAAACAAGUUUGAUGAAAUCAUGGCCUUCAAGAGCAUUAAUUUUAUAUCAUUGAAAGGCAUCACUAAUGGUCACUGCUUGGUCUUAGUCUGAGGAAGAAACUGGGGUUAAAAUUCAUGAGCUACUCUUUGUCCUCAGAGUCACAGCUUACUCUUAAAUUGUGUGUUUAAAUUUCGUGGCAGAUGAAAACAAUGCUAAAACUUUUCUUGUAAGAGGAAAAUAUUCCAAGAGAAAAAGAUCUUUACUUUUAAUGGAGAAGGGCCAAGAGAAAUUGUGCAGUGAGUCCUCCUGUGAUGAUAAGCUUGGGUGCCCUUAGCAUGUCCCAGCAGAAGAGAGUUACGCUGAGAUAGGUCUUUGCUUAUCAAAGCUUCCUAAGACUCAAUUGUUCAACAAGUAUUUGUUGAGUACCUGCCUUGUGCCUGGCUCUGUGCUGGAUGCAUUGUACAAAUUAUUCAGAGAUCUUCAUAAUCGCCCUAUGAUACAAUCACUUUGGGUGGCUCAGGUCAGCCCUUCUACAAGACGAUUGCGUUGAGACAUUACAAACAUUUUUCCUUGUUUAUUGAUUUAUUUAUAGAAUAUCACUCUCCAAAAUGUAAAAUAAAUUUGAAAUCAGUAUGGUAUUGUGAAAGGAGUUCAUACUGGACACACUGUUUGCCCCUGGGAUUGCAGACUGUCUCUUGCUGGUAGAAGGAGUCAUGGCUUACCAACGCUGAGACGAUUGCCUACUACUUACUGCUGUGAGCUUCUGCUCACAUGCUUCUGUUCUGUCCUUCAACAAUGAACUU